AGAUUGAACGCUGGCGGCAUGCCUUACACAUGCAAGUCGAACGGCAGCACGGGAGCAAUCCUGGUGGCGGGUGGCGAACGGGUGAGUAAUACAUCGGAACGUGCCCAGUUGUGGGGGAUAGCCCGGCGAAAGCCGGAUUAAUACCGCAUACGACCUACGGGUGAAAGCGGGGGAUCGCAAGACCUCGCGCUAUUGGAGCGGCCGAUGUCGGAUUAGCUUGUUGGUAGGGUAAAAGCCUACCAAGGCUACGAUCCGUAGCUGGUCUGAGAGGACGACCAGCCACACUGGGACUGAGACACGGCCCAGACUCCUACGGGAGGCAGCAGUGGGGAAUUUGGACAAUGGGCGAAAGCCUGAUCCAGCCAUGCCGCGUGCGGAAGAAGGCCUUCGGGUUGUAAACCGCUUUGUCAGGAAGAAACGUUCGAGCUAAUACCUUGAACUAAUAGACGUACCUGAAGAAUAAGACACCGGCUAACUACGUGACCAGCACGCCGC
rnacentral:rRNA from 1 species